rnacentral:rRNA from 1 species
CCCUUUGUAUUCGUACGAAGGUGUCCUAGUGGCGAACGGGUGAGUAACGCGUUGGUGACCUGCCCCGAAGUUUGGGAUAACCCCGCGAAAGCGGGGCUAAUACCAAAUGUGGUCAUCGGAUUUAGAAACCGAUGUCUAAAGGAUUUAUUCGCUUCGGGAGGGGCCUGCGUCCCAUCAGCUAGUUGGUAGGGUAACGGCCUACCAAGGCUACGACGGGUAGGGGACCUCAGAGGGUGGCCCCCCACAAUGGAACUGAAACACGGUCCAU